GACGAACGCUGGCGGCGUGCUUAACACAUGCAAGUCGAACGAAGAGCGAUGGAAGCUUGCUUCUAUCAAUCUUAGUGGCGCACGGGUGAGUAACGCGUAAUCAACCUGCCCUUCAGAGGGGGACAACAGUUGGAAACGACUGCUAAUACCGCAUACGAUCUAAUCUCGGCAUCGAGGAUAGAUGAAAGGUGGCCUCUACAUGUAAGCUAUCACUGAAGGAGGGGAUUGCGUCUGAUUAGCUAGUUGGAGGGGUAACGGCCCACCAAGGCGAUGAUCAGUAGCCGGUCUGAGAGGAUGAACGGCCACAUUGGGACUGAGACACGGCCCAGACUCCUACGGGAGGCAGCAGUGGGGAAUCUUCCGCAAUGGACGAAAGUCUGACGGAGCAACGCCGCGGGAGUGAUGACGGCCUUCGGGUUGUAAAGCUCUGUUAAUCGGGACGAAAGGCCUUCUUGCGAACAGUUAGAAGGAUUGACGGUACCGGAAUAGAAAGCCACGGCUAACUACGUG
rnacentral:rRNA from 1 species